rnacentral:rRNA from 1 species
CCUACGGGAGGCAGCAGUAGGGAAUCUUGCGCAAUGGGCGAAAGCCUGACGCAGCCAUGCCGCGUGAAUGAUGAAGGUCUUAGGAUUGUAAAAUUCUUUCACCGGGGACGAUAAUGACGGUACCCGGAGAAGAAGCCCCGGCUAACUUCGUGCCAGCAGCCGCGGUAAUACGAAGGGGGCUAGCGUUGCUCGGAAUUACUGGGCGUAAAGGGAGCGUAGGCGGAUAGUUUAGUCAGAGGUGAAAGCCCAGGGCUCAACCUUGGAACUGCCUUUGAUACUGGCUAUCUUGAGUACGGGAGAGGUGUGUGGAACUCCGAGUGUAGAGGUGAAAUUCGUAGAUAUUCGGAAGAACACCAGUGGCGAAGGCGACACACUGGCCCGUUACUGACGCUGAGGCUCGAAAGCGUGGGGAGCAAACAGGAUUAGAUACCCUGGUAGUCCACGCCGUAAACGAUGAGUGCUAGUUGUCGGCGAUGCAUGCAUGUCGGUGGACGCGAGCUACG